AUGCUCUUCGUCCCGCGCCAGGUAGCACUCGCCUCCCUACCCUCCGCCCCCGCCGCCGCCGCCAUGGCCAAGGAGGAGGCCAAGAAGGAGAAGAAGAGCAAGAGCAAGGGGGCCGCCACCAAGGCCUCCCCCGGCCCCGACCCGCGGGUCCUCGCCGCCGUCGCCGCCUUCCUCGAGUCCAGCGGCCUCCCCCGCACGCUCGCCGCCCUCCUGUCCGAGGCCAACCUCGAGGGAGAUGCUUGGAGGUCGUCGCCGGUGAACCUGGAGGACGUGGUCUCCAAGUUGUUGGAAUCAAGCACUUCUGCUCCAGGAGCUGACAUUACCGCGAGCAAUGAGCAAGAGAAAACAGAUGAUGCCGUAGCAGAAGAGAAAGGCGUGGGCAAGAAAAAGAAGAACAAGAAAGGCGGUGCCGAAGCUCACGAGUCCGAGAGUAAGGCAAGUGAGCCCUCUGCCCCUGAAAAGCCCAGCGAGAAGGCGGAUGAUGAGACCAAAGAAAAGAAACGGAAGAAGAAGAAGGAUAGCUCAUCGGUGGGGGGUGAUGGCGAGGCAAAUGCAGUAGUGAAGACUGAUGAUCAGAAGACUGAUGGCAAGAAAAAGAAAAGCAAGAAACAGGAGAAUGAUGAGGAUGUUGAAGCUAGGCUGGAAAAGGUGGAAUUAGCAGUAAAAGCCAAGUUUGAGGCGGCUGGGAAACUCAAGGAUCAUGACAAGAAAUCUGGAGAGGAUGAACCUAAGACUCAGAAUGACGAGGCUAAUGAGAACGGUUUGAGUGAUGGUGCUCCUCUGGAUAAGGGGAAGAAAAAGAAGAAGAGUAAAUCAACUUCAGAGACCUCAGAUAAGAUUGAUGCAGGAACUGCACCUGCCGAGGCAGAGGUGAAAUCUAAUGGUGCCAGUGAAAAUAAUAAUGCUGUGGGAGAAGGGAAAGAUGUCAAUGAGAAGAAAAGUAAAAAGAAGAAAAAGAAGUCAGGUUCUGAAGAAAAUGUUCAGGUAGAAGAUAAACAAGUUGCAGGGAAAGAUUCAGCUCCCAAACCAGAUGAUGAAAACAAGACUGCCAUGGACAUUGAGAACGGACAAGAUGGAAAGGCUUCAGCUGAUGAUGCAGUUGUUAGCAAGAAGAGGAAACUGGAAGAAGUUGAAGGAAGCAAACCCCCUGCCAAAGAAGAUAUCACUGCCACCGAAGAUGAUGUGAAGGAGCCCAGCACUGCAUCGAAAUCAAAUAAACGGCAGAAACUUUCUGAGCCUAAAAUUGCAUUCCAACGGGUAAAGACUGAAGAUAUUAAAUUUGCUGAUGAAAGACUACAAGAUAAUUCAUAUUGGGCCAAGGGUGGCGCCGACUCUGGGUACGGUGCAAAGGCACAGGAAAUUCUUGGACAAGUUAGAGGAAGGGAUUUUAGGCACGAGAAGACCAAGAAGAAGCGCGGAACCUACAAGGGUGGGUUCAUUGAUCUACAAACCCACUCGAUUAAGUUUAACAAUUCAGAUGACGAGUAA
rnacentral:rRNA from 1 species